GACGAACGCUGGCGGCGUGCCUAAUACAUGCAAGUCGAACGCUUUUUCUUUCACCGGAGCUUGCUCCACCGAAAGAAAAGGAGUGGCGAACGGGUGAAUAACACGUGGGUAACCUGCCCAUCAGAAGGGGAUAACACUUGGAAACAGGUGCUAAUACCGUAUAACAAUAGAAACCGCAUGGUUUCUAUGUGAAAGGCGCUUUUGCGUCACUGAUGGAUGGACCCGCGGUGCAUUAGCUAGUUGGUGAGGUAACGGCUCACCAAGGCAACGAUGCAUAGCCGACCUGAGAGGGUGAUCGGCCACAUUGGGACUGAGACACGGCCCAAACUCCUACGGGAGGCAGCAGUAGGGAAUCUUCGGCAAUGGACGAAAGUCUGACCGAGCAACGCCGCGUGAGUGAAGAAGGUUUUCGGAUCGUAAAACUCUGUUGUUAGAGAAGAACAAGGAUGAGAGUAAAAUGUUCAUCCCUUGACGGUAUCUAACCAGAAAGCCACGGCUAACUACGUGCCAGCCGCCGCUGUAA
rnacentral:rRNA from 1 species